rnacentral:misc_RNA from 1 species
UGAACUUUAAUUUGGGUAAUUUUAGGGUCCUUUUUUUACAAAUGCUUUCUUUUGGAAUGGAAAUAGACAUGUAUUCGAAUAAUCUUGAUGAAGUGGUAGAAGAAAAUUUUAUUGUCAUUAUUAUCUAGAUCAAGUGAAGUUGUAAAUUUCAAUUGCUAGAGUUUGUUUUCAUGUUUGGCACUCUUCUAACUAAAAGCAUAUAUUUAUCUUUGAUAUCCAAUUGUAUGCCCAAUUAUAUAUGUUUGUAUGAAAAAUAUAUUGGUGUUGACAUUCUUUAAUAUGUUAAAAUCAUCUAUUUUAUUUUCCAAAUCACUGUUGUUACAAUCUUUUGAUUCUCGAUUUAAUUCCUCAUCCCAGGGAUUCGAAUAUAUAAGGUAAAUCACAAAUGUAUCUCAAUCAUAACCGAAUCUUAUGAUUAGAUAGUGAAUCAGGUGAAUCGACUGAUUCGGUGGAUUCUUUCUUUAAAGGGUUGUUAGACUCUGUGGUUUUUAAAAUUUAAGAUUUCACUUGUGUUUAGUAUGAAAAGUGCGAUUAAAAAUCUUCCCUUAGCUAUUUAUUUCCCUUUUCUUUUAUUUUGGUUAAUUCACUCCUCUAAAUAUAGUUGACAAAUUAUUAUGUUUUAUAUUAAUAUAUUCUGUCUUUUUAAUUUGAGCAGCUAUCCUUUUUUAUUAAUAUAUUCUGUCAGUAGGUAGUUGAAGA